CAGCGUGGAUUAGGGUCGCGUUUGAGACGUGUUAAAGCCUGGACAUGGAAGGUGAGUUGCAGGUUUCAGUGGUCACAGUGGUGGUGGUGGUGGUGGUGACAGUGGUGGUGACAGUAGUGGUGGUGGUGGUGGUGUGUGUUCCGCUGACCAAGGAAAGGAAGGAAGGAUAUUAAAGAAAAGGAGAAGUGGGUGACUAAGAAGGAAAAAGAGGAGGAAGGAAAGAGAAAGAAAAGUAAGUAAGAGAGGGGAGAAGGCUGUAAGGAGGAGGAAGAGAGGGAAGAUUAAAGUGAGGAAGGGAAGGGAGAAGGAAGGAAGGAAGGGAGUGGUUGGUUGACGUACAGAGGAAGAAGGAAGGAAGAGAGGGGAAGGAAGGAAGUGGUUGGUUGACGUACAGAGGAAGAAGGAAGGAAGAGAGGGGAAGGAAGGAAGUGGUUGGUUGACGUACAGAGGAAGAAGGAAGGAAGGAAGGAGAGGAGAGGAAAGAUUAAGUAAGGGAAGGAAAGGAAGGAAGGAAGGGAGUGAUUAGUUGACAAAGAGAGGAAGAAGGAAGGAAGGAGAGGAAAGAUUAAGUAAAGGAAGGAAGGAAGGGAGUGAUUAGUUGAUAAAGAGAGGAAGAAGGAAGGAAGAAGAGGACAGAGUAAGUAAGGGAAGGAAGGAAGGGUGUGGUUAGUUGACAAAGAGAGGAAGGAAGGAGAGGAAAGAGUAAGGGAAGGAAAGGCAGGAAGGAAGGAAGGAAGGAGUGGGCUCUUACACUUCCGUCAUUUUCUUUAUCCCAAACUUCUUCAUGGCAUCACUAACUAGAGCAGUGUGUAGGUAUAUGUAGGUGCUAAAUGUGGUAUACAGCAGUAAGGGACGCUGGGUUAUAACACAGGGAAUGGGCAGCUCAGUGUCUAUACUCCUUAACCUGGUAGCAUCGGGGAUCAUGUUUCUUAAUGGUCCCUCUAAGCGAGAAAAAUGAGAAAAAAUCAUCACUCACACAAACCAUUUCAUAAUAUAUAUCAAAGCAUUUGUGAUCAGUUUAUGUAUCAUCUAUUUUUGGGGGUUUAUAUCAUGGCACAAAUUUGGCCCGUCGCUGCUACACGGUAAAGCCACAAAUUUGGCCCGUCGCUGCUACACGGUAAAGCCACAAAUUUGGCCUGUCGCUGCUGCUGGGUUAACACAGUCUUGAGUACAUAAACAUGACCUUAGAUAUGACCUCAGGCUGCCCUUUGACCUGCCAGUUUCCUUUUCAUGUGUUUGAAGAUACCCUAAACUUAACCUAAUAAAACCCCAAACAGUUACUAUAGGUCUUGACUCAGAGAAUUCAUAUAUGCUUCCUUACUAAUGAGACUUUCUAUACAACAAAGUGAGGUCAUUCUUUGUUGAUUUAUACCAUAGAGGGCUGGCUAUCAUGUGUUUGAAGAUACCCUAAACUUAACCUAACAAAACCCCAAACAGUUACUAUAGGUCUUGACUCAGAAAAUUCACAUAUGCUUCCUUACUAAUGAGACUUUCUAUACAACAAAGUGAGGUCAUUCUUUGUUGAUUUAUACCAUAGGGGGCUGGCUAUCAUAUGUUUGAAGAUACUCUAAAUUUAACCUAAUAAAACCCCAAACAGUUACUAUAGGUCUUGACUAAUGCUUCCUUACUGACGAGACUUCCUGUACCAUAAAGUGAGGUCAUUCUUUGCUGAUUCACACUAUAAGUCACUGCUAUGUUAGAUUUUGUUAGCUAGGAAAAACAUGAACGAACUAAGAAAGUCAUUAUGCAAGGGUUAGAUGCUAGACUACCACAGUGAACAUCAGGAGUGAGGAUUUUUUUUUUUUAUGAGCAUGACUGGUUUCUUGAAGGGUUGUGUGCUGUGCCUCCGCCCAGCAAGAUUAGCCAGCCAGGGACACACCGCUCAUCUCUGUUCCUUUCUUAUGGGUGUGUUACUAGACAUUCCGUUGCCUAAGUUCACCUAUUUGACAAGGCUUUCGAAUGAAUUUUGGCAGUGAACCCUAUACUAUGGAACGGACACUUGCCCCAGCCUUGUCAUUAAGCCGCGAAUUUUGGAAAAUCAACCACUUUGGUGCGAAUCGCCAUAACUCCCUUAUUUCUGGGGCUGCAGUAAAGUUUUUGGUAUCAAUUGAUGGCAAAAUGAAAGGGCUAUAUCUUUUAAUUAGCUACCAGGCUCGAAAACCGACAAGAAAGGGUAAAAAAUCAAAUAAAUUCGCAAAAAAACGACUGAAAAAAAUCUAUUUUUGAGUUCCCAACCUUGAAACCCACUCAUUUUUUGAGAAUUUCAAAGAACUUAUUUAACAAAUGAUUUAGCCCUGCCAAUGUGCUUUGCAAUAUGGUGCAUAACAUUUCUCUACUCCCAGUAGUUUCGUCGCUAGAGGUCAAAACGUAAACCCUGUCGAGAGCGAUUGCUUCUGCUUCUAGAAGGCUGUAAUUUGGCAUGUAGCCCUUCUUGACAAUGUAGUUUGAGCAACUCGAAGGAUUUUUUGAUGGCUUGUUUCCAAGUUUGUCGUAGAGUUGUCACAAAAUAGACUUUUGUAGGAGUUUUGGGUAUUUCCAGGAGUAGUUUUAUGACCCUGGUGGUAGUUUGACCCUUCCUCUGUACCAUGAACCUAAGAAACACAAAAUUGGUUAAGCUUUUGUAUGAGUUUUGGUCAUUUCCAGGGGUAGUUUUAUGACCCUGGUGGUAGUUUGACCCUUCUUCUUUACCAUGAACCUAAGAAACACAAAAUUGGUAAGGCCUUCGUAUGCAUACUUUCUAUACAACAGAGUGAGGUCAAUCUUUGUUGAUUUAUACCAUAGGGGGCUGACUAUCAUGUGUUUGAAGAUACCCUAAACUUAACCUAACAUAUCCCAAAACAAACACUGUAGGUCUUGACUCAGGAAACUCAUUAUGCUUCCUUACUAAUGAGACUUUCUAUACAACAAAGUGAGGUCAUUCUGUGUUGAUUUAUACCAUGAGGUGCUGGCUGUCAUGUGUUUGAAGAUACCCUAAACUUAACCUAACAUAUCCCAAAACAAACACUGUAGGUCUUGACUCAGGAAACUCAUUAUGCUUCCUUACUAAUGAGACUUUCUAUACAACAAAGUGAGGUCAUUCUGUGUUGAUUUAUACCAUGAGAUGCUGGCUGUCAUGUGUUUGAAGAUACCCUAAACUUAACCUAACAUAUCCCAAAACAAACACUGUAGGUCUUGACUCAGGAAACUCAUUAUGCUUCCUUACUAAUGAGACUUUCUAUACAACAAAGUGAGGUCAUUCUGUGUUGAUUUAUACCAUGAGGUGCUGGCUGUCAUGUGUUUGAAGAUACCCUAAACUUAACCUAGUUUAGCUUGCU